AAGGAUCAUUAAUGAAUAACUUUGGCGUGGUUGUAGCUGGCUCCUUGGAGCAUGUGCACACCCGUCAUCUUUAUCUUUCCACCUGUGCACAACUUGUAGAUCUGGAUAACUCUCGCCUUCUGGCGGAAACAGGGAUUGCUGCGUCGCAAGGCCAGCUCUCCUUGAAUUUCCAGGUCUACGUCUUUACAAACUCCAAUUGAAUGAUGAAGAAUGUAGUCAAUGGGCUCUAAGCCUAUAAAACACAAUACAACUUUCAGCAACGGAUCUCUUGGCUCUC
rnacentral:misc_RNA from 1 species